AUUUGGUGUCUACACUGCUAGUACUCCAGUUCAGCUUUCGCUGACCAUGACUCUAUUUGGCUAACUGCACAGAUUUGCUGAUAGCUCACCAGUUAUCAGCUACUCUGCUAAAUGAAUAGAAUGAACCAGACACAGUCUUCACGCUGUGGCAGCUCUCAGUCUAAUGUCAGGGAGGCAAGCAAGUGAACCAGACAGAACAAUACUGUGCGAUGAGCAUCAAACAUGUUGAAAGAACAUGACAGAAGCAUAUGCUCAUUCAAAGGAGGAGCCGGAGCUUCUAGUAAAAGCCAACAGAGAGGGGCAGCUGGAAAGAGGAGAAGAGGAUUAGAAGAGCUUUUCCUCAGUGGCAUUUUUGAGACUUCAAAAUGCUCUUAGAAGCUACUUAACAACAAAAUCAGUUGAUCCCAUUGUUGCAGCUCAGAAUUCUGUUUCAGUAUAUCGCAGCUGAGUAAGGAAGCUAAGGCGCUGGAGUGGUAUUAAUGCAUCACCCAUGGAUAUGUCCAAAAGCUCUUAAUUAUAGCACCUUAAAGAAGUCUUACAAAAAUCCUCCAGCCUUCCACAAGACCUGGGUCUCCUGGGGCCAGGACCACCAAAGAGAAAAUAAAAUCCCAGAUCUCUGAGGGUCUCACCAAGUUGUA